UAAAAAGUUCUAAAAAUAUCGUAUAGGUACCGCCUACGUUACAAAAGACCGGCCUAGAUUAAUAUAUAGGCCAACUUCAAGGCCGGUUGUUUGUAGCGUAGACGAUACCUUGUUCGCUUACCUUACGCUUCAAUCAAUUUUUUAGUGUUUUGGAUUGACUUCCGCAAAAACGGGAUCUUGGUCUGUUUAUCGUCGUCGUUAGCUGCAGCUGCACAAAAAUUAACGAAUUUAUUUCAUGCUAUAUAGAGAAGAGCUAAGGUUUACACGUUUAAUGCUAUAGGUACCAGCAACCUGUAGAGGAGAAUUAUUUGGGGAAUUUAUGAACAUAAUUAAAACAGAUUAUUCAAAGAAACUGGAACAAUUAACUAAAAUUAAAUAUACGGUGUUUGUUUAAAUUCUCAAUUGCCUGUAGUUUUAGAUCCAAGAUCAAAACGGAGAACCUAUCCGGUC